rnacentral:tRNA from 1 species
GGUUGUGGCUCAGUGGUAGAGCGCUUGCCUAGCACAUAUGAGGCCCUGGGUUCAAACCUUAGAACCA